UUCACAUGCCAAACUAACAAAUAAAAUCGUGACACGUGAAUUUUAAUUUAAACAAAUAAAAAAGGACUUUUUUAUAUAAAAAAAAAAAAACAAUUAAAACAUUGUUUCUCUCUCUUCCCAAAAAAGCACCGCUCCCCCUCCCCCUCCCCACCCUCUUUCUCUUCCGCCAUUCUUCCUCUUCUUUUCUUGCUCUUCUUCUCUCAUUUACACCGUGUUUUUUCCUUCCUAUUUCAUGUUAGUUUCUUAUUUUGCUCGAUAUAAUUUUUAUGCUAAUUGUUGAUGAUGAAUAUUUGCCCUCUCUAUCACUUAUAUUCUCUUGCUCGACUCUUCUUCUUCUGAAAUGGCAAUGGUGAAGAAAAAGGCACAAUAAUCUCUGUGCUCAGUGGCAAGCAAGUUCUUCUAAUUUCUUCUGCUUUCCAAAUAUACAUUGCUGUUGUGACAAAUUGUUCGAUGAUAUGACGGACCCGAGAACCACUCCAACUUGAUUUCGGCGUUUCCGGUGAGUUCCAUUUGAAUUUUCUUUUCUACUCUUGCUUUGUAUAUCGAAAAGCUUAAUAACCCAUUGUGUAUUUGAAAGUUUUUGUAAGGAAUUUGAAAGCUUAAUAACCCAUGUCUCAGAAAAAAAAAAAUACAUUGGAAAAGAAGAGAAAACAAAGCUUGUUGACACUUUACAUUCAAUGCUUAUGCUCUCACUUGAGGUGAAGGAGAAAUAGUGAGAGGUGGCGGAGAAAUGAUGUUGUUGGUGGAGUAACCGUUUUUGGAGAAGAUGAAGGAGAGAGAGAAAACAAUGUUUUUUUUUUCCUUUUUUUGUUGACACUUGUUAUUUGGGAUCCACAUCAAUAGCUUUUUAAAUGGUUUUCACGCUCCUUAAAAAAAGUGGGUAACAGGCACAGUGACAGGUGUCUAUAUGACACAAUAAAGAUUGUCUUGAAGGGUUCAUAUGAUACGCCGCUCGGUUGAGGGGUUCAAGUGAAAAAUAUGAAUAAAUUUAGAGUUCUAUC